UACGGGGGGGGCAAGCGUUGUUCGGAAUUACUGGGCGUAAAGGGCUUGUAGGUGGCCAACUAAGUCAGACGUGAAAUCCCUCGGCUUAACCGGGGAACUGCGUCUGAUACUGGAUGGCUUGAAUUCGGGAGAGGGAUGCAGAAUUCCAGGUGUAGCGGUGAAAUGCGUAGAUAUCUGGAGGAAUACCGGUGGCGAAGGCGGCAUCCUGGACCGACAUUGACGCUGAGGAGCGAAAGCCAGGGGAGCAAACGGG
rnacentral:rRNA from 1 species